GAUGAACGCUGGCGGCGUGCCUAAUACAUGCAAGUCGAGCGAACAGACGAGGAGCUUGCUCCUCUGACGUUAGCGGCGGACGGGUGAGUAACACGUGGAUAACCUACCUAUAAGACUGGGAUAACUUCGGGAAACCGGAGCCAAUACCGGAUAAUAUAUUGAACCGCAUGGAUCAAUAGUGCAAGGCGGUUUUGCUGUCACUUAUAGAUGGAUCCGCGCCGCAUUAGCUAGUUGGUAAGGUAACGGCUUACCAAGGCAACGAUGCGUAGCCGACCUGAGAGGGUGAUCGGCCACACUGGAACUGAGACACGGUCCAGACUCCUACGGGAGGCAGCAGUAGGGAAUCUUCCGCAAUGGGCGCAAGCCUGACGGAGCAACGCCGCGUGAGUGAUGAAGGUCUUCGGGUCGUAAAGCUCUGUUAUUAGGGAAGAAAAAAUGUGUAAGUAACUAUGGCCGUCUUGACGGUACCUAAUCAGAAAGCCACGGCUAACUACGUG
rnacentral:rRNA from 1 species